rnacentral:miRNA from 1 species
UGAGAUCAUUGUGAAGGCCACU